rnacentral:misc_RNA from 1 species
AACGCACAUCGCGCCCCUCGGUAUCCCGGGGGGCAUGCCUGUACGAGCGUCAUUUCUACCACUCAAGUUUAACUUGGUAUUGGGUGUUGUAGCUCCUAAAAGCUACAUGCCUUAAAUUUAGCCGGCAACAAGCACCAGUUCCGAGCGUAGCAGUAAAACAUUUCGCUUUGGGAGCCUUGGAGUAUUGUUCACCGCAAGAAUCUUUAUAGUUUGACCUCGGAUCAGGCAGGGAUACCCGCUGAACUUAA